GAUGAACGCUGGCGGCGUGCUUAACACAUGCAAGUCGAACGGUGAAGCAGGAGCUUGCUCUUGUGGAUCAGUGGCGAACGGGUGAGUAACACGUGAGCAACCUGCCCCUGACUCUGGGAUAAGCGCUGGAAACGGCGUCUAAUACUGGAUAUGUGAUGUGACCGCAUGGUCUGCAUCUGGAAAGAAUUUCGGUUGGGGAUGGGCUCGCGGCCUAUCAGCUUGUUGGUGAGGUAAUGGCUCACCAAGGCGCCGACGGGUAGCCGGCCUGAGAGGGUGACCGGCCACACUGGGACUGUGACACGGCCCAGACUCCGACGGGAGGCAGCAGUGGGGAAUAUUGCACAAUGGGCGGAAGCCUGAUGCAGCAACGCCGCGUGAGGGAUGACGGCCUUCGGGUUGUAAACCUCUUUUAGCAGGGAAGAAGCGAAAGUGACGGUACCUGCAGAAAAAGCACCGGCUAACUACGUGCCAGCAGCCGCCGCCG
rnacentral:rRNA from 1 species